rnacentral:misc_RNA from 1 species
GAAAUGUGACAAUUUGCUUGUCAACUUAAAGGAUCCUUCUCGACCCAUUUGUAAGGUGGCUGAUUUUGGGCUGUCAAAAAUCAAGAGAAAUACCUUGGUUACUGGUGGUGUCAGGGGAACGCUUCCAUGGAUGGCUCCAGAGCUAUUGAAUGGUGGAAGUAAUAAGGUUUCCGAGAAGGUCGACGUCUUUUCCUUUGGGAUUGUGCUCUGGGAAAUCCUCACUGGCGAAGAACCUUAUGCAAAUAUGCAUUAUGGAGCAAUUAUAGGUGGUAUUGUCAACAACACAUUGAGACCGCCUGUGCCAAGCUUCUGUGACACUGAGUGGAGAAUGCUCAUGGAACAGUGUUGGGCUCCAGAUCCUGCCAUCCGCCCAUCUUUCACUGAAAUUGCCAGACGGUUACGUACCAUGGCUGCUGCCUGUCCAACAAGACCGCAAGCUCAUCCACCCAAGUGAUGGCAUGGUGUCUGUCCCUUCUUUCUUGGUAUCUGCAUGAAAGUUUCUUUUACAAGUAUACCCUGUUUAUUCUGUAUUAUUCAGAGAGAGGAGAGUGGUCUCCUUUAGAUUCUGAAACAACAUUAUAUGGGAAACAUGAAAAACUUUUUAUAUAUGUAAAACAUCAUUUUGUAUCUGUGAUAGAUCGAAAUGUAAU